GGCAUCCACAACUGAUGCAGUCGUUUAUCCAGCUGGCCUGCUGCAGUACAUAAGAAUAUUGAUGCAGCUUUCUGCUGUACAGGAACAGCUCCAUGGUUCCUUAGGAGUGAUCUGCAGACACCUGGGGUCAUCCCUUUUCCCGAACCCAUAAGUCUGAAUUUCCAGUCCUGGCACAGCACCAAGGAACUAUCAGGAAGUUGCUUUUGAGCUCUGCCUUUCCAGCUGAAAGGAGGUUGGAGGGACAGGAUCGAGGUUUGAGGAAGACAACAAGGAGUCAGAGGAGCUGAAAAAGAUGACCAGAUAAACACUGUAUUUCAGCAGGAAAAAUCCCCAAUAAAAACUGCUGGUUUUGGUAAGAAGACA
rnacentral:lncRNA from 1 species